GGGUGUUAUUAUAACAGCGUUAAUGUAUAGGAGUUCAUCAGAGCUUCUUAGUUAAAUGUAAUUGGAUUAGAGUAGUACUGGGAUGAGUGAACUUCCAAAAAGUCCUACUGACAAUGACACUUU
rnacentral:rRNA from 1 species